CUGUGGGGUCACUUGUAGCUCCACCUGGUCACCUUUGUUACCCACUGGCUGGAGCAGAUGGCAUGAGCAGCCCUGCCUGCCUCUGAGGGGCACUGCCCAGCAGCAUGGGGACAUGGAGGAGAACCUCCACAGCAGUUCUGGCACCUGAGGUCCCAGCUGGAUUUGGUUGACUUUCCUCACGUAAAUGAUGUUUGUAUCCCACAUGCGAACAUUGUGGGUUUCCCUGGUGGCUCAGUGGUAAAGAAUCUGCCUACGGUGCAGGGGACCUGGGUUUGAUCCCUGGGGCAGGAAGAUCCCCGGAGAAGGAAAUGGCAACCUUCUCCAGUAUUCUUAGCUGGAAAAUCUCAUGGACAGAGGAGAGCCUCGUGGGCUACACAGUCCAUGAAUUCAAAGAGUCGGACACGACUGAGCCCCUAAACCACCACCACCACCACUAGGAACAUUCGCCCUGGAGGCUGCCGUAUGCCAGGCCCUGUGGAUUUGCUCCCACCCUAGGACCUGGGGAAGAGAGCAGGGGAAGUCAGGCUUUGGGCUUCGUUUCUCCAGAGAAACAGACUUAAACAGUAGAUAGGUAUGCUUGUGAGCCAGGCUCGUAAGAAGACAGGCUGUACGCAGACCAGUUUCUAAAUAACCGUACGAGGAACUUCCUAGAGGUCCAGCGGCCAAGAGUCUGAGUUCCCAAUGCAAGGAGCCCAAGUUCAAUCGCUGGUAGGGAACUAGAUCCUGCAACUCAGUCUCAUGCCACAACUAAAGAUCCUGCAGACUGUAGCUAAGACCCAGCACAGCCAAAUUGAAAGAAAGCCAUAGGUUCUGCUACUCCCUGAAGGGGCAGCGGAGGUUCUAAGAGGGCACAAGCCAGAGAUCUCAGAAUCAACCAUAUCUUUGACUUUCAGGUCAUGCUAAGCACAGAGUGGGUACUCUAAAGUUUUUAUUUAAUAGCAUUGAAUCAGCAAAAAGAAAAGACAGGCUUCCCUGGAGGUCCAGUGAUUAAGAGUCUGCCUUGAAAUGCAGGAGACAUGGGUUCAAUCCUUGGUCUGUGAAGAUCCCACAUGCCAUGAGCAGCUAAGCAUGCAUGCGUAGAGCCUGUGCUCCGUAACGAGAGGCCACUGCAACGAGAAGCCCAUAAACCACAACUAGAGAAAGCCCGAGUGUGGCAGUGAAGACCCAGCACAGCCGAAAUAAAUAAUUUCCUUAAUGGCAACCCACUCCAGUAUUCUUGCCUGGAAGAUCCCAUAGACGGGAGCUUGGCGGGCUACAGUCCAUAGGCUCGCAAAGAGUUGGACACCCCUGACGUGACUUAGCAUGCAGACGCGCACUGGGUCACAAGGGAAGUGUGGGCCCUUGUCUUGCUCAUCUUGGGCUGCAAGGCUGCAAGUUCUGUAGCCUACAUGGCUUAAACAACAGAAGUGUCUCACACCUGGAGACGGGAGUCCUGGCCGAAGAUGCUGGCAGGUGUCCUUCAUCCUGAGGCCUCGCAGCCGCUGAGCUGUGUGCUCACGGGACUGUUCGUGCAAGGAGAACGGUGAUCCUGUCAGAUCAGGACCAUGCUGAUGACCUCUCUCGACUGCCCCACCUCUGAAUAUCAUCACACGGAGGGUGAGUCAGCUCUUUGCAUAUCAGGUGGCAAAAAUGUUGGAGCUUCACCUUCAGCUCAGCUUCAGGAGGAAGCACCUCAAUGGUGUCAUCUCCAGGCUCGUUGGCAUUGAAGCCCCCUCCAGCGUCGGGAUCCAUGUGGCAGGACCAGAAAGGAAGAAGCGCUAACCUUAGGGCGAAGGAAAGUGGAUCAGGACCUUUUCAAGGUUUCCCCUGGAAGAGAGAAGAUUUCUUAACAAAACCUAGCAUUCCCUUCACACAGACCACCAAUGUCAGCUCCUUGGUUCCUAUCCCGAAGACUGCAUAUGAUGUGGAUGAAAACACACGUGUCCACAUAUACCCACACAUAGACUUGUGCAUUUGCAAAAUGCGAUCAUACUGCACACA
ensembl:lncRNA